GACGAGUGCCAUGAACGAAAAACAUCAACAACGACCGACGGCAGUGCACACGGCAAAAACAGUCGAAUAGACCGCACGGAUCGAAGAGAACGCAGUCAUACUAUUGGGCUGGUGCUUUGGGGCAAAAAUA
ensembl:ncRNA F11A1.13 ncRNA